CCUACGGGAGGCAGCAGUAGGGAAUCUUUCACAAUGGGCGAAAGCCUGAUGGAGCAACGCCGCGUGCAGGAUGAAGGCCUUCGGGUUGUAAACUGCUUUUAUAAGCGAGAAAUAUGAUGGUAACUUAUGAAUAAGGAUCGGCUAACUACGUGCCAGCAGCCGCGGUCAUACGUAGGAUCCGAGCAUUAUCCGGAGUGACUGGGUGUAAAGAGUUGCGUAGGUGGCAUAAUAAGUAGCUAGUGAAAUCUGGUGGCUCAACCAUUCAGACUAUUGGCUAAACUGUUAAGCUCGAGACCGUUAGGGGUAACUGGAAGUUCUAGUGUAGGAGUGAAAUCCGUAGAUAUUAGAAGGAACACCAAUAGCGUAGGCAGGUUGCUGGGACGGUUCUGACGCUAAGGCACGAAAGCGUAGGGAGCAAACGGGAUUAGAUACCCGAGUAGUC
rnacentral:rRNA from 1 species